rnacentral:rRNA from 1 species
AGGAGGGGGUGGCCAAACUGUGGCCCUUGCCCUCUUUGUAAGAGGGAGCAGGAUACCGUGGAACAUCUUUUCUUCAACUGCCGUUACACGCUGAGACUGUGGGGCUUGGUGAAGGACUAGCUGCAACUUGUCAGCUUGGAUUUUUCACUUUGAACGAACUACAGGAACAUCAAAGAUUGGUGGUUUGACAUGGUUUCCACCCAAAGGAUCCAUGGAAGGGCACUGCCUUCGCUCACUAUGCUAGUAUGCAAGACAAUUUGGGAUGAAAGGAACGCAAGGGCUUUCCGAAGCAACUAUGCACCCCCGAUCAUCCUUCUUCACACCAUUCAGAGGGCAACGAGACUUUGGGCGACUACGGGUGCGAAACAUUUGGGGCAUAUUCUGCCAGGAGAAUAG